rnacentral:lncRNA from 1 species
CACCCCGACUUCGCAGUUCAGCAGUCCCCAGUGCGACAGAAGUGGACCUGCCUUACAGCCAGCUAGACUGUCCGUUUUUAUUGGCGACAUUGUCAUGACGGUCAUCAGAAGGGUUCCUAUUCGUCCAAAGUGAAAACUAAGCACAGUUCUCAAAAGCACGAAAUAGGCGAGAUGAAUUCAAUAUUACGUAUUUACAGAUAUGUUUACUUCAGGCCCAAUACGGGAACAAGGCACCAACAGCAUGAUUAAGGAAGUGUAGGUGAACUUCAUGGUGCUGUUGGAUCAUUCUUGUUUCUGAAAUCAAAGGCGAUGACAUUCGUUCCUGUGAUAAAUUCUCAAACUGAAGAGUCUUACUAUAUUGCCCAGGCUGGUCUCAGACUCCAGACCUCAAGCAACCAUCCUGCCUUGGCCUCCCAAAGUGCUGAGAUUACAGGUAUGGGCCACUGUGCCUGGCGUGAAUCACCAGCUUUUUAAGCUGAGAGGGCAUUUGGCAGAUCUGUCAGUUAAUAGGUUGUUCAUCAAGCUCACCCAGAGUCUAAAGAUGUGUUCAAAGUCAAAUUAGAUGGAUUCUUAGUACAGAAAACAAUAACUCUGGGCACAAAGUAUACUCUCAGGAAGCUGGGUUGAAUGAAUGAAGCAGGGAAUGGUAUGAGAUUAUCUCACUUAUAACUGCUUUAAUUCGUUUAAAGGUUAAUUAUCAGAUAACUUAUUUAUUUCACUAAUUUUGUCAAUGAUAAUUCAAUUUACUACCUGUACGAAAAUAAUCUGUUAAUCAUACCUUUCUUGGGGACAUGUUUGCCCCAGAGUACAUAUACAGUAUACUUUUUUCUUCAACAUGUUACUUCAAUAAAAUGCAGUUAUUUUAGGCUCUUAUUAAGUGUGCAUGCACAUACAUGUGUGUGCAAGCACUCCUGUCUGUGUGUGUGUAAAAGAGAGAGAAUAGAAAAAGCCUGAAAGAAUGUAUCCAAGCUGUUAACAGCAGUUAUCUCUAAAGGGUAGAAAUAUAGAUAAUUUUCAUCUUUUUCUUCAUUCUUUCAUAAUAAGCAAUUUUCAAUUCAGAAAAAAGAAAUAAAGAUUCAUAAUUCAUUUAUGAAAUAGUCUGAACUCAGGACAUAUAAGCCAGUUAAUUAAAUUUUUUGCUUUCUAAUUUAAAAAAUAAUAUUCUAUGAGAACACCUUAAGUAUGAAGAAGAAAACAUCAAUGACCUUCUAUUGCAGUAGAUCGGAUCUUCCUUCCCACCCCUUCCAGAUGGAUGGAGGACUCCCUGAG